AGGCGAACCGGGGGAACUGAAACAUCUAAGUACCCCGAGGAAAAGAAAUCAACCGAGAUUCCCCCAGUAGCGGCGAGCGAACGGGGAGGAGCCCAGAGCCUGAAUCAGUGUGUGUGUUAGUGGAAGCGUCUGGAAAGGCGCGCGAUACAGGGUGACAGCCCCGUACACAAAAAUGCACAUAUUGUGAGCUCGAUGAGUAGGGCGGGACACGUGGUAUCCUGUCUGAAUAUGGGGGGACCAUCCUCCAAGGCUAAAUACUCCUGACUGACCGAUAGUGAACCAGUACCGUGAGGGAAAGGCGAAAAGAACCCCGGCGAGGGGAGUGAAAAAGAACCUGAAACCGUGUACGUACAAGCAGUGGGAGCCUCUUAAUGGGGUGACUGCGUACCUUUUGUAUAAUGGGUCAGCGACUUAUAUUCUGUAGCAAGGUUAACCGAAUAGGGGAGCCGAAGGGAAACCGAGUCUUAACUGGGCGUUAAGUUGCAGGGUAUAGACCCGAAACCCGGUGAUCUAGCCAUGGGCAGGUUGAAGGUUGGGUAACACUAACUGGAGGACCGAACCGACUAAUGUUGAAAAAUUAGCGGAUGACUUGUGGCUGGGGGUGAAAGGCCAAUCAAACCGGGAGAUAGCUGGUUCUCCCCGAAAGCUAUUUAGGUAGCGCCUCGUGAAUUCAUCUCCGGGGGUAGAGCACUGUUUCGGCAAGGGGGUCAUCCCGACUUACCAACCCGAUGCAAACUGCGAAUACCGGAGAAUGUUAUCACGGGAGACACACGGCGGGUGCUAACGUCCGUCGUGAAGAGGGAAACAACCCAGACCGCCAGCUAAGGUCCCAAAGUCAUGGUUAAGUGGGAAACGAUGUGGGAAGGCCCAGACAGCCAGGAUGUUGGCUUAGAAGCAGCCAUCAUUUAAAGAAAGCGUAAUAGCUCACUGGUCGAGUCGGCCUGCGCGGAAGAUGUAACGGGGCUAAACCAUGCACCGAAGCUGCGGCAGCGACACUAUGUGUUGUUGGGUAGGGGAGCGUUCUGUAAGCCUGUGAAGGUGUACUGUGAGGUAUGCUGGAGGUAUCAGAAGUGCGAAUGCUGACAUAAGUAACGAUAAAGCGGGUGAAAAGCCCGCUCGCCGGAAGACCAAGGGUUCCUGUCCAACGUUAAUCGGGGCAGGGUGAGUCGACCCCUAAGGCGAGGCCGAAAGGCGUAGUCGAUGGGAAACAGGUUAAUAUUCCUGUACUUGGUGUUACUGCGAAGGGGGGACGGAGAAGGCUAUGUUGGCCGGGCGACGGUUGUCCCGGUUUAAGCGUGUAGGCUGGUUUUCCAGGCAAAUCCGGAAAAUCAAGGCUGAGGCGUGAUGACGAGGCACUACGGUGCUGAAGCGACAAAUGCCCUGCUUCCAGGAAAAGCCUCUAAGCAUCAGGUAACAUCAAAUCGUACCCCAAACCGACACAGGUGGUCAGGUAGAGAAUACCAAGGCGCUUGAGAGAACUCGGGUGAAGGAACUAGGCAAAAUGGUGCCGUAACUUCGGGAGAAGGCACGCUGAUAUGUAGGUGAAGCGACUUGCUCGUGGAGCUGAAAUCAGUCGAAGAUACCAGCUGGCUGCAACUGUUUAUUAAAAACACAGCACUGUGCAAACACGAAAGUGGACGUAUACGGUGUGACGCCUGCCCGGUGCCGGAAGGUUAAUUGAUGGGGUUAGCGGUAACGCGAAGCUCUUGAUCGAAGCCCCGGUAAACGGCGGCCGUAACUAUAACGGUCCUAAGGUAGCGAAAUUCCUUGUCGGGUAAGUUCCGACCUGCACGAAUGGCGUAAUGAUGGCCAGGCUGUCUCCACCCGAGACUCAGUGAAAUUGAACUCGCUGUGAAGAUGCAGUGUACCCGCGGCAAGACGGAAAGACCCCGUGAACCUUUACUAUAGCUUGACACUGAACAUUGAGCCUUGAUGUGUAGGAUAGGUGGGAGGCUUUGAAGUGUGGACGCCAGUCUGCAUGGAGCCGACCUUGAAAUACCACCCUUUAAUGUUUGAUGUUCUAACGUGGGCCCCUUACCGGGGUUGCGGACAGUGUCUGGUGGGUAGUUUGACUGGGGCGGUCUCCUCCUAAAGAGUAACGGAGGAGCACGAAGGUUGGCUAAUCCUGGUCGGACAUCAGGAGGUUAGUGCAAUGGCAUAAGCCAGCUUGACUGCGAGCGUGACGGCGCGAGCAGGUGCGAAAGCAGGUCAUAGUGAUCCGGUGGUUCUGAAUGGAAGGGCCAUCGCUCAACGGAUAAAAGGUACUCCGGGGAUAACAGGCUGAUACCGCCCAAGAGUUCAUAUCGACGGCGGUGUUUGGCACCUCGAUGUCGGCUCAUCACAUCCUGGGGCUGAAGUAGGUCCCAAGGGUAUGGCUGUUCGCCAUUUAAAGUGGUACGCGAGCUGGGUUUAGAACGUCGUGAGACAGUUCGGUCCCUAUCUGCCGUGGGCGCUGGAGAACUGAGGGGGGCUGCUCCUAGUACGAGAGGACCGGAGUGGACGCAUCACUGGUGUUCGGGUUGUCAUGCCAAUGGCACUGCCCGGUAGCUAAAUGCGGAAGAGAUAAGUGCUGAAAGCAUCUAAGCACGAAACUUGCCCCGAGAUGAGUUCUCCCUGACUCCUUGA
rnacentral:rRNA from 1 species